GGAGAGGUGACCGAGCGGCCGAAGGUGCACGACUGGAAAUCGUGUGCACUAAAAGGUACCGAGGGUUCGAAUCCCUCCCUCUCCGCCA
rnacentral:tRNA from 1 species